rnacentral:rRNA from 1 species
GAUUAACGCUGGCGGCGUGCAUGAAACAUGCAAGUCGAGCGCGGCACCUUCGGGUGUCUAGCGGCGCACGGGUGAGUAACACGUGAGCAACCUACCUCCGAGUUCGGGAUAGCCCUGAGAAAUCAGGAUUAAUACCGGAUGGUGUCAUCUCGAGGCAUCUCAAGAUGAACAAAGGCGCAAGCCGCUCGAUGACGGGCUCGCGGCCUAUUAGCNGUUU